rnacentral:lncRNA from 1 species
AAAGAAAUAUCAAUUAAGCAAGAUUAAAGUACUGAAGAUUUUAACAAAAUACACAAUAUAAUCUCACUAGGACCCGGAGUCAUGAAUCUGAGCCUCUACAAUACAGAAUAUCAUCCUAAUACACGGUAUAUCCAAAGUCCGAUAAUGCGAAAAUAAAGAGAUAGGAUAGGAGGGAGAAAAUCAAUGUCUGCGAACGCCGUGCAGCUACCUCGAUACUCCCAGAGGCUGGAUCUGCUGAUCAACUAGAUCUACUGAGCCUGAGACUGCCCUAGAUCUGCACACAAGGUGCAAGGAGUAAAGUGAGUACUCCGACCCAGUGAGUAAUAAAAGUAACUACAGUCCGAAGAUAAGAAAAUCCAGUAAAUACACAAAGUAAGCUACAAUCCGAAUAUACAGCAACAUAUGGAACUGAGCAGCUAAACACCAGUAUAAAUACAAAUACAUGAAUGCAAUGCAAUGCAUAUGAUGGUACAUUCCAGUACCCACUGCGGCGUGCAGCCCGAGCCAUCAAUAUUUAUUUAUCGUCGACGGCGCUCACUGGGGGUGUGUACAGACUCCGGAGGGGCUCCUACAGCCCAAGCGCAAUAUCUUGGUCAGUCACUGUUACCUGACCGGUCAGCCAUUGUUACCUGACCAAUUUAUAUCAUACAGUGCCAUUGUUACCACUGUUCAAGUAUAUUAUCCAGUGUCAUUGUUACCACUAUUUCAAGUAUAUCACACAGUGUCAUUGUUACCACUGUUUCAAGUAUAUCACAUAGUGUCAUUGUUACCACUGUUUCAAAUAUAUUACACAGUGUCAUUGUUACCACUGUUUCAAGUCACUUUAUAAUCAGUCCAGAAAAUAAUAUAAUAAGCCCCUUGGGCACUUACAAAACAGAAGUUCCCAGCCCGGAAUACAUUUAAAAAUAUCAUUUAAGUUUGCAAAACAAUAUUUAAAACCUUGGACUGAAAUUAAAUGAUAUGCAAAUCAUGCUAAGCAGUAAUAUCAAUCCUCGAAGGAUUUUACAAAUCGGCACAAGGCCUCAAACAUGGCAUAAAGCCCAGUAAUAUCAAUGAAGUAUGUGUAUCAAUCACCAGUAUAGUAUAAACAUCACACGGGAUGGACCAAGUAACAAUCCCCAAUAGUAUCCGACCCCGCACUCGCCAUGGAGUGCAUGUCAUGCCUCAAUAUAGUGAUACGAUGUGAAAGUCCGGGGUUUCAAACUCUCAGAACAACAUUUACAUCUAUUACUCACCUCAAGAUGGCCAAAAGUCUACUACGCGAUGCCCUUUCCUUUCGAAUCGACCUCCUCGCGCGUCGAAUCUU